AACGAACGCUGGCGGCAUGCCUAACACAUGCAAGUCGAACGAGACCUUCGGGUCUAGUGGCGCACGGGUGCGUAACGCGUGGGAACCUGCCCUUAGGUUCGGAAUAACUCCCCGAAAGGGGUGCUAAUACCGGAUAAUGUCUUCGGACCGAAGAUUUAUCGCCUUUGGAUGGGCCCGCGUUGGAUUAGCUAGUUGGUAGGGUAAAAGCCUACCAAGGCGACGAUCCAUAGCUGGUCUGAGAGGAUGAUCAGCCACACUGGGACUGAGACACGGCCCAGACUCCUACGGGAGGCAGCAGUGGGGAAUAUUGGACAAUGGGCGAAAGCCUGAUCCAGCAAUGCCGCGUGAGUGAUGAAGGCCUUAGGGUUGUAAAGCUCUUUUACCCGGGAUGAUAAUGACAGUACCGGGAGAAUAAGCUCCGGCUAACUCCGUG
rnacentral:rRNA from 1 species